GGACCAGACUCCUACGGGAGGCAGCAGUGGGGAAUAUUGCACAAUGGGGGAAACCCUGAUGCAGCGACGCCGCGUGAGUGAAGAAGUAUUUCGGUAUGUAAAGCUCUAUCAGCAGGGAAGAAAAUGACGGUACCUGACUAAGAAGCCCCGGCUAACUACGUGCCAGCAGCCGCGGUAAUACGUAGGGGGCAAGCGUUAUCCGGAUUUACUGGGUGUAAAGGGAGCGUAGACGGCAGAGCAAGUCUGAAGUGAAAGCCCGCGGCCCAACUGCGGGACUGCUCUUGGAACUGCGCGGCUGGAGUGCAGGAGGGGCAGGCGGAAUUCCUGGUGUAGCGGUGAAAUGCGUAGAUAUCAGGAGGAACACCGGUGGCGAAGGCGGCCUGCUGGACUGCGACUGACGUUGAGGCCCGAAAGCGUGGGGAGCAAACAGGAUUAGAUACCCUAGUAAUA
rnacentral:rRNA from 1 species